rnacentral:rRNA from 1 species
AGUGAACGCUGGCGGUAGGCCUAACACAUGCCAGUCGAACGGCAGCACAGUAAGAGCUUGCUCUUACGGGUGGCGAGUGGCGGACGGGUGAGGAAUACAUCGGAAUCUACUUUUUCGUGGGGGAUAACGUAGGGAAACUUACGCUAAUACCGCAUACGACCUACGGGUGAAAGCAGGGGAUCUUCGGACCUUUCGCGAUUGAAUGAGCCGAUGUCGGAUUAGCUAGUUGGCGGGGUAAAGGCCCACCAAGGCGACGAUCCGUAGCUGGUCUGAGAGGAUGAUCAGCCACACUGGAACUGAGACACGGUCCAGACUCCUACGGGAGGCAGCAGUGGGGAAUAUUGGACAAUGGGCGCAAGCCUGAUCCAGCCAUACCGCGUGGGUGAAGAAGGCCUUCGGGUUGUAAUGCCCUUUUGUUGGGAAAGAAAAGCAGCAGGUUAAUACCCCGCUGUUCUGACGGUACCCAAAGAAUAAGCACCGGCUAACUUCGUG